GACGAACGCUGGCGGCGUGCCUAAUACAUGCAAGUAGAACGCUGAAGAGAGGAGCUUGCUCUUCUUGGAUGAGUUGCGAACGGGUGAGUAACGCGUAGGUAACCUGCCUUGUAGCGGGGGAUAACUAUUGGAAACGAUAGCUAAUACCGCAUAACAAUGGAUGACACAUGUCAUUUAUUUGAAAGGUGCAAUUGCUCCCCUACAAGAUGGACCUGCGUUGUAUUAGCUAGUAGGUGAGGUAACGGCCCACCUAGGCGACGAUACAUAGCCGACCUGAGAGGGGGAUCGGCCACACUGGGACUGAGACACGGCCCAGACUCCUACGGGAGGCAGCAGUAGGGAAUCCUCGGCAAUGGGGGCAAACCUGAACGAGCCACGCCGCGUGAGUGGAGAAGGUUUUCGGAUCGUAAAGCCCUGUUGUAAGUCAAGAACGAGUGUGAGAGUGGAAAGUUCACGCUGUGACGGUAGCUAACCAGAAAGGGACGGCUAACUACGUG
rnacentral:rRNA from 1 species